rnacentral:tRNA from 2 species
GCCGGCUUGGCGGAAUGGCAGACGCGGCGCACUCAAAAUGCGUUGUCCGAGAGGACGUGUGGGUUCGACCCCCACAGCCGGUA